UGUAAUCCCAGCACUUUGGGAGGCCGAGG
rnacentral:piRNA from 3 species